CUGGGAAUUUUGCGCAAUGGGCGAAAGCCUGACGCAGCAACGCCGCGUGGGGGAUGAAGGCCUUCGGGUUGUAAACUCCUUUUAGUUGGGACGAAAUCAAUGACGGUACCGACAGAAAAAGCACCGGCUAACUCUGUGCCAGCAGCCGCGGUAAUACAGAGGGUGCAAGCGUUAUUCGGAUUCACUGGGCAUAAAGGGCGCGUAGGCGGUUUGGCAAGUCUGAUGUGAAAUCCCUCGACUCAAUCGAGGAAGUGCAUUGGAUACUACCAGACUAGAGUAUAGGAGAGGUGAGCGGAAUUCCUGGUGUAGAGGUUAAAUUCGUAGAUAUCAGGAGGAACAUCGGUGGCGAAGGCGGCUCACUGGACUAUCACUGACGCUGAGUGCGCGAAAGCAUGGGGAGCAAACAGG
rnacentral:rRNA from 1 species